GUGAAAUAUACAGUAUUUAAGCCAAUUACUAAAGAACUACUGUAUAUGUUUGCCUUCUAAACAGAAAUUGAUAAUACAAUCAAGUGUUGCUGUGCCAACGUGUAGUCUUUAGAAACAGAUCCAAUCUAAUCUGACACUGGAAACACAUACCUGAAAAGGAGUGAAGAAAGGGAGCUUUUGUUUUCUUAGUUUCCUGUCAUUGGGCACAUGAAUGGGCGUGUGUGAAGGUGUGCUUAAGGGCUUUGAAAAUCAGCAGGAGCCAUGUGAUUGGUCAAUCAAGUAAAGUGGCUGCACCUGGAAUAAAUCAGCAGCUGACAGUUUAUUUAAACUCCAGCAGACAGCAGUGUUAAGUAGAAGUCAGUCACUCUGCAAGUUCGAUCUCGAUGUUAAAUGCCAGCUUUUGCCAUUUUCAGCGCAGACAGCAUUCAAGGACAAAGUCGUUAGCAGUCGGAAUGUGGCAGAGACUUGGACGACAAUGGGAAGCCUUGGGACUGCGGACCUUGAAAGGUUUUCAGAAAACAUACAGUUCCCGCUCUCCCUUCAAGUACUUCUCUGCCACUCCCAACAUCUUUAAACAGUACCAAAAUUUCAUUUCAUCGUCCUGUCUGGGAAUUUUGUAUCCACAAAGAUUGUUAAAGUCUUACACACAGGAUUAAAUUUGCCACACGUUAGUUAAAUUCCUUUUUAAACUGUUUAUUUUAAUAUUGUUUAACAAAAUAAUUCUUGUGGAACAUAAUAUUAAUAAAAAAUACUUAGUUUUCCCCAAAAUGAAAUUCGUGUUUGGCUUUGCCUACUCUCCACUCCCUAAGGAACACUUAGAAAUCUGCUUACCUAACUGAACCUAUCUGUAAUUCUGGCUGCACACCUCCAGUCGUCUCUCUAUACCUUUACAUGCCUUGCUGGUACUCCCUGUCUUUCUCAGACAGUUGGCAGACCGUUGGAUAAUCUUGGCCGAUAAUCAGUUAUUUACACUUUCACUUUCAAAGCAAAAAGUUAUGCUUUCAUUAGACGUUCUUGGCUUCAAACCAGCUUGUAA